rnacentral:rRNA from 1 species
GGGGGGGGCAAGCGUUGUUCGGAAUUACUGGGCGUAAAGGGCGCGUAGGCGGUCCCGCAAGUCCUCCGUGAAAUCCCACAGCUCAACUGUGGAAUUGCGAGGGAAACUGCAGGACUUGAGUUCGGGAGAGGAGAGUGGAAUUCCCAGUGUAGCGGUGAAAUGCGUAGAUAUUGGGAGGAACACCGGUGGCGAAGGCGGCUCUCUGGACCGACACUGACGCUGAGGCGCGAAAGCUAGGGGAGCAAACGGGAUUAGAUACCCCGGUAGUCCUAGCCCUAAACGAUGAGCACUUGGUGUGGCGGGUAUCGACCCCCUGCGUGCCGAAGCUAACGCAUUAAGUGCUCCGCCUGGGGGAGUACGGUCGCAAGGCUG